AAUCAACGCUGGCGGCGUGCCUCAGACAUGCAAGUCGAACGCGAAAGUCCCCUUCGGGGGACAAGUAGAGUGGCGCACGGGUGAGUAACACGUAGGCAAUCUACCUUCGGAUGGGGAAUAACAACCGGAAACGGUUGCUAAUACCGCAUAAUGCAGCGGCACCUAAUGGUGACAGUUGUUAAAGCGGGGGAUCGAAAGACCUCGCGUCUGAAGAGGAGCCUGCGGCGGAUAGGCUAGUUGGUAAGGUAACGGCUUACCAAGGCGACGAUCCGUAGCCGGCCUGAGAGGGCGGUCGGACACACUGGGACUGAGACACGGCCCAGACUCCUACGGGAGGCAGCAGUGGGGAAUUGUUCGCAAUGGGCGCAAGCCUGACGACGCAACGCCGCGUGGAGGAUGAAGGUCUUCGGAUUGUAAACUCCUGUUGCCCGGGACGAAUGGCUCCGACCUAACACGUCGGAGUGUGACGGUACCGGGUGAGGAAGCCCCGGCUAACUCUGUGCCAGCAGCCGC
rnacentral:rRNA from 1 species